rnacentral:tRNA from 1 species
UCUGAAAUAGCUCAAUUGGUAGAGCGUCAGAUUAUAAAUCCAAAGGUCCUUAGUUCGAUCCCGGGUUUCGGCA